rnacentral:rRNA from 1 species
GAACGGAGAUUACUCCCAACCCCUGUGAACAUACCAAUUGUUGCCUCGGCGGAUCAGCCCGCUCCCGGUAAAACGGGACGGCCCGCCAGAGGACCCCUAAACUCUGUUUCUAUAUGUAACUUCUGAGUAAAACCAUAAAUAAAUCAAAACUUUCAACAACGGAUCUCUUGGUUCUGGCAUCGAUGAAGAACGCAGCAAAAUGCGAUAAGUAAUGUGAAUUGCAGAAUUCAGUGAAUCAUCGAAUCUUUGAACGCACAUUGCGCCCGCCAGUAUUCUGGCGGGCAUGCCUGUUCGAGCGUCAUUUCAACCCUCAAGCCCCCGGGUUUGGUGUUGGGGAUCGGCGAGCCCUUGCGGCAAGCCGGCCCCGAAAUCUAGUGGCGGUCUCGCUGCAGCUUCCAUUGCGUAGUAGUAAAACCCUCGCAACUGGUACGCGGCGCGGCCAAGCCGUUAAACCCCCAACUUCUGAAUGUUGACCUCGGAUCAGGUAGGAAUACCCGCUGAACUUAAGCAUAUCAAUAACGCCGGAGAGAAGGAUCUUUUCCGAGUUUUACAACCUCCCAAACCCCUGGUGAAAAUACCCAAUUGGUUGGCCUCCGGGGGGAUCC